rnacentral:misc_RNA from 1 species
UCAUUAUCGUAAAAACGAGAUGCGAGGGCUGUCGCUGACCUUUUCGGUUGUGCACGCCCGAGCGCUCUCACACAAUCCAUCUCACCCCUUGUGCACCACCGCGUGGGUUUCCUUUCUGGCUUGUCCGGAAGGGGGGCUCGCGUUUUCACACAAACUUGAAGUAGUGUAGAAUGUCCUUUUUUGCAAUAACAUGCAAUCAAUACAACUUUCAACAACGGAUCUCUUGGCUCUCGCAUCGAUGAAGAACGCAGCGAAAUGCGAUACGUAAUGUGAAUUGCAGAAUUCGGUGAAUCAUCGAAUCUUUGAACGCACCUUGCGCCCCUUGGUAUUCCGAGGGGCACACCCGUUUGAGUGUCGUGAAAUUCUCAAAACCAUUUCUUUUGGUCGUUUUCGACCAUGGAAAGGAUUUUGGACUUGGAGGCCUUUUGCUGGUUUCACCUUGAAGCGAGCUCCUCCCAAAUGUAUUAGUGGGGUCUGCAUUGUCGGUCCUUGGCGUGAUAAGUUGCUUCUACGUCUUGGAUUUUUGGCGCUGUACACCUGCUUCUAACCGUCUUAUUGACAACGAUGGUGUUCCGGUCUCAGCCGAUUUUAUCGGUGCGAGGCUUGACCCACGAAAUGAACCUUGACCUC